AUAGGGCUUGCAUAUGUGUUUUAUGUGUUUUCCUGGAUGUUUAUCAGGUCUGCUGCUGGUACCUCCUUGAAGAAAAAGUUCAUUUAUUACAACAACCAACCAGCUGGAGAUGUUAUUGAGGUCAUGGAUGCUAAGGCAAGAGGAAGCAGUGCCCUGGGAAUGUCUGCCUCUGGAAUCCCAGCCAGCAGGAAAACUUGGCAGAGCUUUGCUGUGCCUCAGCCCUCCCCUGGUUCAGCAGGGCUGAUUGAUCAGCCCAAGGCUGCUGAAAUUGGGGCAACGCAAACCCCCAAGACAUUGUUUUCCAGACCAUGAACUGAUGCUUUUGGCUGCUGCAGAAGCUCCUCCAUCUCGUCUGAAGCUGCUGAAAAGUGCCUUGAUGUUCUCCCCUGCAAAGGGAAUUAAAUCUCUGGGAGGGAACGAAGAGCACAGCACAAAGAGCAGGCAUGGUCCAGACCUCACAGGACUAAUUAUGCUCUUAAAGGGACUGAGUUGUUAAUUUUGGAUGGUCACAGGAGCUGCUCUGGAAAUGCCUGCAAGAGGAAGCACUGGGACAAAGGAAAGUGGUUCAACCUACUGGCUAGUCUGGGAAUGAGGAUCUGCUCGCUGCUGCUGCCAUCUCCCC